rnacentral:misc_RNA from 1 species
ACGUUAUAUUGAUAGCUCAUUCUGGGAUAACAGAACAAUCUUCCCGUUGCAGACUUUUUUCUUUUUUUCGACUUCAGGACUCACCACUGGCAGCCCGCUGAAUCAUCGGACGCCUAGUGUCGCUAUCAGACUUAUCAUCGAUGGCAAAGAUGUCAGUUGUAGGAGGCAGAGAGAGGCUGGCUCUCUUAUGUUUGGCGGGGGUUAAGGGAGGAUCAGGGCUAGAAUUCCAAUUGAACACCUCGUACAUGGACGAGGACAUUCUCAUAUCUGCAAACAAACCAUUCAGCGCUGCAACAUUAGAGCCACCACCAGUAAGUACAAAGAUAAAUAGAGCGGAUGCAAUAGGAUCUUAAUUACCGAACGAAAGGAAAUCUAUCUCUCUCCGGUCAAUGUUACAACUCUAGUGAAAUUACAUUUACUCAGGCAUAUAGUCUCGCUACGAACAACUAUCUGUCUCUCUGUCUAUGUACUUUUGACACUUGUAUUUCGUAAUAACGUGUACGGAUUACAGAGAAGUCAGCGCGUCGAAGAUGAGGUGCUUCUCGUGUGUGUACAUGAAGCGAUAUUAUGUUGGCAAAAGAACAUGAUAUAUAGCAAAAAAAAGAAACAAAAAAGAAUAAGAGAGGAAGAAAUCAAUAACAUCAUCUCGUUUAUCGCUGAAAUCAAAUUGCAUUCGUCGGGAAACGCAGCGAAAUUAAAAACCGGUGGAAUUGGCUGCGAAAAACAUACAAUACGAACUGUAGAAAUUUAAACGAAAAACCUGAAAAAAGUACAGAGAAUAUAAAACACAUUACGAAUACGAUCACGAAUCAUUUUAUCUAUCAACAUUAGAGAAUCGAUCUCUCAUGCUCCGUAAUUUCCUUUUUUCUUUUUUAACCAUCACAUGGAGAUAUCGUGUAUAGUUGAAUAAAGUCGUGUGUUGGUGGUUGAUGUGUAGUGUUUGGUAAUCAAACAUCAUCGUAAAAAUAUUUAUUCGUCGAAGGAAGCUCGAUUUAUCGCUAGAAUGAGGCGCCACGAUUUUAACCCGGUUUCGUAAAUGAUUAGUAAAUAAUCUUUAACUGAAAAGAGUAACGCACAAGCCACGCACGCAAAUACGUAUAAAAAUGUCUCGUUCGCCUUCUGCGUAAUCUUUCUGGAACGUAGUGCAUCCAUGCGUUACGCGUUACGGCGCAUCGGUUGCGCAACUACAUAUAGCACUAGAAGCGCUGUGUAGAAAGAACGCAGUGAGAAAAGAAGCGGCCUUCGCUGUACGUCUCAACCAUCGGCAGCUCGACGAUUUUUGAGUGCCAACAUGAAGAAA